UGUGAGCCCUGGACGUGGUCGGACCUCGCUCAGCUGGGGCCGGACGGGAAGAUGUGGGCGUAGUGACUGAGCUGUUGGAGCUGAACUACGAACCGUGGAUAUGUGGUUUUGGUGGAAUUUAUUGCGAGUAUUUAAAUUAUGGAAAUAGUUCACCGUGGCCUACUACGAUAAACAAACAAAUGUCUAACCAAGAACGAAAAUUGAGGAUGGACGAUAAUAUUGAGGCACGAGGUACCAAUAUACCAAUGUAUAGAGUCGGUUG